rnacentral:rRNA from 1 species
AUAUGGUCAAGUGAAGAAGCGCAUACGGUGGAUGCCUUGGCAGUCAGAGGCGAUGAAAGACGUGGUAGCCUGCGAAAAGCUUCGGGGAGUCGGCAAACAGACUUUGAUCCGGAGAUGUCUGAAUGGGGGAACCCAGCCAUCAUAAGAUGGUUAUCUUAAGCUGAAUACAUAGGCUUAAGAGGCGAACCAGGGGAACUGAAACAUCUAAGUACCCUGAGGAAAAGAAAUCAACCGAGAUUCCCUUAGUAGUGGCGAGCGAACGGGGACUAGCCCUUAAGUGGCUUUGAGAUUAGCGGAACGCUCUGGAAAGUGCGGCCAUAGUGGGUGAUAGCCCUGUACGCGAAAAUCUCUUAGUCAUGAAAUCGAGUAGGACGGAGCACGAGAAACUUUGUCUGAAUAUGGGGGGACCAUCCUCCAAGGCUAAAUACUACUGACUGACCGAUAGUGAACUAGUACCGUGAGGGAAAGGCGAAAAGAACCCCGGAGAGGGGAGUGAAAUAGAUCCUGAAACCGUAUGCGUACAAGCAGUGGGAGCCCACUUUGUUGGGUGACUGCGUACCUUUUGUAUAAUGGGUCAGCGACUUAUUUUCAGUGGCGAGCUUAACCGAAUAGGGGAGGCGUAGCGAAAGCGAGUCUUAAUAGGGCGUCUAGUCGCUGGGAAUAGACCCGAAACCGGGCGAUCUAUCCAUGGGCAGGUUGAAGGUUGGGUAACACUAACUGGAGGACCGAACCGACUACCGUUGAAAAGUUAGCGGAUGACCUGUGGAUCGGAGUGAAAGGCUAAUCAAGCUCGGAGAUAGCUGGUUCUCCUCGAAAGCUAUUUAGGUAGCGCCUCAUGUAUCACUGUAGGGGGUAGAGCACUGUUUCGGCUAGGGGGUCAUCCCGACUUACCAAACCGAUGCAAACUCCGAAUACCUACAAGUGCCGAGCAUGGGAGACACACGGCGGGUGCUAACGUCCGUCGUGAAAAGGGAAACAACCCAGACCGUCAGCUAAGGUCCCAAAGUUAUGGUUAAGUGGGAAACGAUGUGGGAAGGCUUAGACAGCUAGGAGGUUGGCUUAGAAGCAGCCACCCUUUAAAGAAAGCGUAAUAGCUCACUAGUCGAGUCGGCCUGCGCGGAAGAUGUAACGGGGCUCAAACCAUACACCGAAGCUACGGGUAUCACGUAAGUGAUGCGGUAGAGGAGCGUUCUGUAAGCCUGUGAAGGUGAGUUGAGAAGCUUGCUGGAGGUAUCAGAAGUGCGAAUGCUGACAUGAGUAACGAUAAUGGGUGUGAAAAACACCCACGCCGAAAGACCAAGGUUUCCUGCGCAACGUUAAUCGACGCAGGGUUAGUCGGUCCCUAAGGCGAGGCUGAAAAGCGUAGUCGAUGGAAAACAGGUUAAUAUUCCUGUACUUCUGGUUAUUGCGAUGGAGGGACGGAGAAGGCUAGGCCAGCUUGGCGUUGGUUGUCCAAGUUUAAGGUGGUAGGCUGAGAUCUUAGGUAAAUCCGGGAUCUUAAGGCCGAGAGCUGAUGACGAGUUAACUUUUAGUUAACGAAGUGGUUGAUGCCAUGCUUCCAAGAAAAGCUUCUAAGCUUCAGGUAACCAGGAACCGUACCCCAAACCGACACAGGUGGUUGGGUAGAGAAUACCAAGGCGCUUGAGAGAACUCGGGUGAAGGAACUAGGCAAAAUGGCACCGUAACUUCGGGAGAAGGUGCGCCGGUGAGGGUGAAGGACUUGCUCCGUAAGCUCAUGCCGGUCGAAGAUACCAGGCCGCUGCGACUGUUUAUUAAAAACACAGCACUCUGCAAACACGAAAGUGGACGUAUAGGGUGUGACGCCUGCCCGGUGCCGGAAGGUUAAUUGAUGGGGUUAGCUAACGCGAAGCUCUUGAUCGAAGCCCCGGUAAACGGCGGCCGUAACUAUAACGGUCCUAAGGUAGCGAAAUUCCUUGUCGGGUAAGUUCCGACCUGCACGAAUGGCGUAACGAUGGCGGCGCUGUCUCCACCCGAGACUCAGUGAAAUUGAAAUCGCUGUGAAGAUGCAGUGUAUCCGCGGCUAGACGGAAAGACCCCGUGAACCUUUACUAUAGCUUUGCACUGGACUUUGAAUUUGCUUGUGUAGGAUAGGUGGGAGGCUUUGAAGCGUGGACGCCAGUCUGCGUGGAGCCAACCUUGAAAUACCACCCUGGCAACUUUGAGGUUCUAACUCAGGUCCGUUAUCCGGAUCGAGGACAGUGUAUGGUGGGUAGUUUGACUGGGGCGGUCUCCUCCUAAAGAGUAACGGAGGAGUACGAAGGUGCGCUCAGACCGGUCGGAAAUCGGUCGUAGAGUAUAAAGGCAAAAGCGCGCUUGACUGCGAGACAGACACGUCGAGCAGGUACGAAAGUAGGUCUUAGUGAUCCGGUGGUUCUGUAUGGAAGGGCCAUCGCUCAACGGAUAAAAGGUACUCCGGGGAUAACAGGCUGAUACCGCCCAAGAGUUCAUAUCGACGGCGGUGUUUGGCACCUCGAUGUCGGCUCAUCACAUCCUGGGGCUGAAGCCGGUCCCAAGGGUAUGGCUGUUCGCCAUUUAAAGUGGUACGCGAGCUGGGUUUAGAACGUCGUGAGACAGUUCGGUCCCUAUCUGCCGUGGACGUUUGAGAUUUGAGAGGGGCUGCUCCUAGUACGAGAGGACCGGAGUGGACGAACCUCUGGUGUUCCGGUUGUCACGCCAGUGGCAUUGCCGGGUAGCUAUGUUCGGAAUAGAUAACCGCUGAAAGCAUCUAAGCGGGAAACUAGCCUCAAGAUGAGAUCUCACUGGGACCUUGAGUCCCCUGAAGGGCCGUCGAAGACUACGACGUUGAUAGGUUGGGUGUGUAAGCGCUGUGAGGCGUUGAGCUAACCAAUACUAAUUGCCCGUGAGGCUUGACCAUAUAACACCCAAGCAAUUUGACUACUCGAAAGAGCAUCAGAUUGCGGUGUGUGAAGACGCAAUGAACCGAAAGUUCGAUGCUCACAAAA